GACUGUCAUGAUGAUUGGCUAAAUGUUCAACUGCUCUGAAGUGUGAGUGAAAGAUGCCUCUCUGAACAACA
rnacentral:snoRNA from 1 species